GAUAUAUUUUGCCGGGAGGUCAUCACAAGAGAGUGACGGCCUUUGAAGAAGCUGUUGCCCAGCUGCUCACGUCUAAGGGAUGUGCGCACCUUCCACGGGUUCAGGUUGAGUUGACAGCUCCUGGGAAUUGCGUAGCCCACUGGCAAAACCUUGCAACACACAACUCAGGGAAGUCUGUAAGCUUCGGGAGCAAGAGGAGUUAUGGAAUUUCUCAAGCGUCUUGAGAUGGACACGUUUGUAUUUUGAUCCAGGACAAUGAGGAAUUUCCGCUACAUGGCUGACCUGCUGAACCUUGCUUGGGCUACCUGUUGCUUGAUGGGUGCCCCUAAAAACGUGGCUUUCAAGGACUCGUUUGGAUCACCUGUUUAUGCAGUCUGUCCAGUUUUCUAUUUAAUAUCUCUGGCAACAGCUAGGAUGACUGGUCCGCUUCCAAACGCUCACAUCAGGCUCUCUGUGGAUUUUGUUCCGAGAAAGUCAUGACUAUUGAACACCAUUCUCUUUCCAGUUUAUUCUGUCAAUGUGUUACCGGCUUCUUCACGAAAUCCUGAUGAACUAUUGCUGGAACAAAACCAAGUAGCUAAGGUUGCCAACUGUAGCCUGAGAAAUUCCUGGAGAUUGGGGAGGAGGGAUCUGUGGAAGGGAGAUAUUUGGAGAGGGCUUUGACCCCACAUCUAUGGUUUGCCAGAGAGCAGCUGUGUCGACCUCUGGCCCUUCAGAUGUUCAUGGACUACAAUUGGCCAUGCCAGCAGGGUCUGGUGGGAAUUGCAGUCCAUGAACAUCUGAAGCGCCAGAGUUGGACACCCCUGCCAUAGAGUGUGCCCUCUGAAAUGGCCAAUCUCUCCAGUGGAACUGAUCUCUGUAGUCUGGAGGUCAGCUGUAAUUGUGAGAACCCCAAACCCCAUGCUGAGGUUGGCAGCCUUAGACAAAACAGAUCUGGAGGCUGUUAGGGGAUGGGAGAGUAGGCAGGACAAAUUCGAGUCCUCUUUGCUGUCAAGCAGAAUUCUUUUUUUCCACACUGUAGUGCCAUGGAUGCAAAGAACAAAAAUAUAUUUCUAAUUACAA